rnacentral:lncRNA from 10 species
UUUAUAGUUAUAAAAAGAACAUUAAAAUGGAGGAGCAAUUCAUUGAGAAGACUGAUCACAGGACCUCAUGGACUAACUGAAAGCUUCAGAAUGCAAAACAAUAGCCACAGUCAUGAGCACCUGAAAUUUUGCUGAUGGUUUCUAUCAAACACGUUUCCUGGAAAUGCUGGUGCCAUGGUAUUUCCCCAUCAUAACUGAAGUAACUUGAGGAAAAUUCUGACAAAGAUCCACAUAUGAAGAAGCCAAACCAUACUGCUAGAGACACACGGCUCAGCCAACAGUCAUCAGUCAGUCUCAAACAAGACUUUUGAGUGAAGCUGUCUUAAAAUAUCAAUCUCCAGGACACUCACCCAACAAGAUGCAGAAUGGAAGCAAGCGAAUGAACCUAGCCCAUAUUGCUAACCCAGAGAAUCAUGAAGAAGUAACAUAGUUGUUUUAGGUCACUGAUUUUCAUAGUAGUUGGUAUUGCAACAAUGCGUAACUAAUACAGCAUAUUAUUACUAAAUGUUUAAAUUGUACUUAAAUAUAAGCCAAAAUAAAUGGGUUAAUCCAAUUGUGUAGUUGAGUGCUUUCAUUUCAACCUUUAUUUUAAAAGCCUUUCAUAAUGAUUCUAACUUUUUUAAAAUCUGAAGUGUUUAUGAUGUUCUGAGUGUUUUGGAAGAG